UCCAUAUCCAUCGACUGAAGCCUACGCAGAAUACACAUUCUAGUCCACAAGCUACUGACAUUUGUUAAGGUAAAGAUUGAGACUUUAUGAUUCAAAGGUGAGAUUUUUUGGGAAUUGGAGGAGUUGGGUCUUUGAAGAGAUGAGAUUUUGAGGUUUUGGAGGAGGAAAAAUUGAAACUUUUGAUUCAAAGGUUAGUUUUAUUUUUGGAAUUCAAGAAGUUGGGUCUUUGAAGAGUUGAGAUUUUGAGGAGGAAAAAUUGAAACUUUUGAUUCAAAGGUGAGAUUUUUUUGGAAUUGGAAGAGUUGGGUCUUUGAAGAGUUGAGAUUUGAGGUUUUGGUAGGAGGAAAAAUUGAAUUUUUUGAUUCAAUGUUGAGUUUUUUUUUGGAAUUGGAUAAGUUGAGUCUUUGAAGAGUUGAGAUUUGGAGGUUUUGGAGGAGGAAAAAUUGAUACUUUCGAUCCAAAGGUGAGAUUGUUUUGGAAUUAUACAAGUUGGGUCUUUGAAGAGUUGAGAUUUGGGGUUUGGGGAAGUGGAAAAAUUGAAACUUUUGAUCCAAAGAUGAGAUUUUUCUGAAAUUAGAGGACUUGGGUUGUUAGAGGAGAUUUGUAAACUAUAAAAUGAUAAAUCGAUUGAACUGAGAUUUCAAGGUUGAAAAUUUAAGGUCAGGGGGAAACACAUGACAAAAGAAGAAAAGAGAGUUGCAAUUAAGAGCAAAAAGGGUUUUAAAGAAGAAGAGACCAGCUAAGACUAAAAGAGACAGAUAAGAGAGACGAUGAUCGAGACAGAGACAGAGAAGCCCAAAAAGCAAGACUUCAACAACAUGUCUUUCAAUAUCCUU
rnacentral:lncRNA from 1 species